UUUCCAUCCUAUUCUUUUUUCAGACAAGCCAUUGGAUUAUCAGCAUUUAUUGACAAGCAGAGAACGAAUGGUAAGAAUUAUUUACAUAACUCUUGAACUUGAAACAGAAGAUUUUUGACCUAAGCAUUAUAAUGACUCAUUGGAUUGAAACAAGAUAUAAAGGCAGAGAAGCAGCAUUUGAAUAACAGAAGGAUAACCUUUACACAGUGCACAAAAGCAUUAUGCUUACAGGGUCCAUUAACUGAACUUCAACUUACGAUGAGAUCAUAUGGCCAAGGAAGAACCGAGCACUAUUAUCCUGUUGAAUAAAUAUAGUAAUAAACUGCCCCCUAAAUUCUUAUAUUUAUACUCAUAAAAUAGAGCAUCUCUCAACCCUCUUUUGAGAAGAUUCACGUUUUGCACUAGAAGCAAUUUCACUGUACAGAGAAUAGGUGAUGUACAAUUCUCAGCUCUAAAUGGGCCAGCUCUUUCACUAAGGUUCGAGGCCCAUUAUGAAUAAAAAGACAUAAAGAUUGUAAGAUCCAGAAGUGAAUGUCCAUGGUAAAUAGUAUUUUCUAUACAUGACAACACAUGAACUCAUAGCACCUGUGAAAACAUGCAUAAGACCUGCACAAGAUCCAGCCAGUCAAAAUUUUAGCAUGGAUCAGGAAGUUGUUCAUGAAGCCCACCAUUAUUGAAAGAGUUAUUUGUAGUGGAUUGCUCUAGGAGAGGGAUAGCGAGGGAUUUGGGCUCUGAAAGGGUACUCAUACACCACUAGGUGGUCUCACAUCCAUGUAGCCCUAUAUAUCCUUAAGAUAUUCAAUUUUCAAAAACAACAGAGAACAUAAAGCCAGAAAGGAAAAGUUGAGGAAUAGAAGAGGCACAGUAAGGGAAGAUAUGGGUAUAGACUUGUACAAAAUAUAGCUAAUAUAGUCAAUUAGUCAAUAAGAGAUGUGAAUACUUGAACUUCAUAAUGCUGAUUGGUAGAGUAAUUGCAUGGUCAUAGCUGCAAUGGAAAAGGAGAAGAUAUGAUGUGAAGAGGUCCGUACAUACUUCACUUUAAAGAAAUUUGCUACAAUGGAGGAUAAAGAAGUGAGAACUAUAGGGAAGCAAGCAAAUUGGAAGGGCCUGAUAUGUAUGAAACUCUUUGAUUAUGUUUUAAUUUAGUUUCCUAAAGCAAUUUUCCCCAAGAGACAUCAUUAUAAGCUCUAUUCAUUAUUUCUACUAGGAAAAUAUGAAAAACUGUAACCUGAACUGAAAUCUUGGAAAUCUAUGCAGAAGGCACAGCUACCACCUCUCUGAGCUAGAACUAGUUUGUCAAGAGUUCACUGGGAUUUUCCUCUCAUGAUUGAAUAAUCAAUGUGAACUUCAUGCUCCAUGCCUUAUUUUUCACUCAAUUUAAUUGGAAUCCAAUUCAUUAAAAGAGGAAUAAAAAUUCUUAGUAAUACAAAGAUCCUGGGUAAAGCAGCUGAAUAUAAUACUACAGGAUGAGUAUUUGAACACAUUCAUGCAGUGUUCACAGAGGCCAGAAGACUGACCAUGUGAGUUGAAGAGUGAAAGACCUGGAAAGCUGGUGAUUCCACUGAGAAGUGUCUCCAUGCUCCUGCCACAUCCCGUCUUUAGAAAGAGCAGUAAAUGAAACACAAAGGACUUCUAGAUGUUUAAAGGGUCAGAUAUUUGAAGGACUCUUUUUCUUUCUGACCUGAAAAAGAAGGAAGUUGCUCUUAACCCUUUAGCCACAUUGGUGGUAGCGCUGGGUGUGGGGUCAUGUAAACACUCACCGAGCCUCUCAGGUCUCCUGCAGGACUUGAAGGAACUAGACAAUGAGUGCAGAAUUCCAAUGCACUUGAGAAAAGGUUGAGGGCUAGAAAGGGGGCUGUGCAUGUCAGUAAAAUAAAAGGAACCAGGGAUGAAGAAUCAGACAUAACAGCUACCUACCUAUGUGAAGUUCUAAGUCAGACAGGUUGUAUAGGAGAUCUCCAGAAACAUAACAGUUAUCCUGACAUUAAAAGUAAUUAAAACUCUA
rnacentral:sRNA from 1 species